rnacentral:rRNA from 1 species
CCUACGGGUGGCUGCAGUGGGGAAUAUUGCACAAUGGGGGAAACCCUGAUGCAGCAACGCCGCGUGAGCGAAGAAGGCCUUCGGGUCGUAAAGCUCUGUCCUAAGGGAAGAAGCAUGACGGUACCUUAGGAGGAAGCCCCGGCUAACUACGUGCCAGCAGCCGCAGUAAUACGUAGGGGGCGAGCGUUAACCGGAAGCACUGGGCGUAAAGGGUGCGUAGGCGGCCAAUUAAGCCAGAGGUGAAAGGCUACGGCUCAACCGUAGUAAGCCUUUGGAACUGAAUGGCUUGAGUGCAGGAGAUGAGAGUGGAAUUCCUAGUGUAGCGGUGUAAUGCGUAGAUAUUAGGAGGAACACCAGUGGCGAAGGCGAGUCUCUGGACUGUGAGUGACGCUGAGGCACGAAGGCGUGGGGAGCAAACAGGAUUAGAUACCCUAGUAGUC